rnacentral:rRNA from 1 species
UACGUAGGAUGCAAGCGUUGUUCGGAAUUACUGGGCGUAAAGAGUACGUAGGCGGUCUGGCAAGUCUGAUAUUAAAAGACUGGAGCUUAACUCCAGGACUGUAUCGGAAACUGCCAAACUAGAGGACAAUAGAGGAAGUCGGAAUUCUCAGUGUAGCGGUGAAAUGCGUAGAUAUUGGGAAGAACACCAGUGGCGAAAGCGGACUUCUGGGUUGUUACUGACGCUGAGGUACGAAAGCGUGGGGAGCAAACGGG